AGUUCUGUUCAUUGCUUCUAGAGACGACGAUACAAUUAAGUGCAAUUUGGUGGGCUUAACUCUCCUCUCCAUUUUGCUGCAGCUAAAGGGCACAACGAGAUUAUUUCAUUGCUUUUGGAGAAUGGAGCCGAUGUAAACUCCAGAAAUUACUGUGGGCAGGGUAUUCCAGUGCAACAAAGCAGCACAGACUGUGGGUAUUUCAUAAUGAGAUACAUGAAGGACAUCGUGGAGGAUAAGAACUUGGAGUUUUUCAGCAAGUGGGAGAAAAAAGGGAAAGCAGCAUAUACCCAGCAGCAUAUUGAUGAAGUCAGAAACGAGUG